UACGGAGGGUGCAAGCGUUAAUCGGAAUUACUGGGCGUAAAGCGCGCGUAGGCGGCUGAGUAAGUCGAUUGUGAAAUCCCCGGGCUCAACCUGGGAAUUGCAGUCGAGACUGUUCGGCUAGAGUGUGGGGAGAGGGUGGUGGAAUUCCCGGUGUAGCGGUGAAAUGCGUAGAUAUCGGGAGGAACAUCAGUGGCGAAGGCGACCACCUGGCCCAACACUGACGCUGAGGGUGCGA
rnacentral:rRNA from 1 species